UACAGAGGGGGCAAGCGUUGUUCGGAAUUACUGGGCGUAAAGGGCGCGUAGGCGGCCUGUUAAGUCGAACGUGAAAUCCCCGGGCUCAACCCGGGAACUGCGUCCGAUACUGGCAGGCUUGAAUCCGGGAGAGGGAUGCGGAAUUCCAGGUGUAGCGGUGAAAUGCGUAGAGAUCGGGAGGAACAUCAGUGGCGAAGGCGGCCAUCUGGAUCAACACUGACGCUGAGGCACGAAAGCGUGGGGAGCAAACAGG
rnacentral:rRNA from 1 species